rnacentral:rRNA from 1 species
UACCAGCACCCCGAGUGGUCGGGACGAUUAUUGGGCCUAAAGCAUCCGUAGCCGGCCUUACAAGUCCUCCGUUAAAUCCAGCUGCUUAACAGAUGGGCUGCGGAGGAUACUAUAAGACUAGGAGGCAGGAGAGGCAAGCGGUACUCAGUGGGUCGGGGUAAAAUCCGUUGAUCCAUUGAAGACCACCAGUGGCGAAGGCGGCUUGCCAGAAUGCGCUCGACGGUGAGGGAUGAAAGCUGGGGGAGCAAACCGG